AUGAAGUCGCUGGCAGCAAUGCACCGGGGAGAAGCUGCGGAAAGGACUGGGCGCCCCUGGGCAUCAGCUGGUGGGAUGAAUCCUGCACCGGUCCCAGGGAUGGGGGUGGGGACGAGCGGCAUGGGCAAGCGCCGGCCGUACAGACCGUGCUCCGGUUGCUUCUCCGUCCUGAGCGAGGAGUCAAAUGCUUUGUCCCGGAGCACGAGAGAAGUCGAGGAGGUUCAACAGCGCAUGUGGCCUCCGAAGAGAAAACACGGCAAGAAAAGCCCAGAAGGCAACAGACCUCCCCGGAGCCAACCUCACGAAAUCAGCAGCGUGGACGUCCUCCGCGGAGCCAGGAGGAGAGAGCAGCCGGGUGAACAGCAGAGAGUCAAGAGGGAAGACAAGAAACCUUUGCACGUGCAACCCCUGAGAAAACCCAAUAGCUCUGUGAUGAGAAAGGACGCACCGAGCACCCGGACCCUGCGGGAGGACGAGACACCGGGGGCAGGAUGCAAAACCUCACCAGGAGAGAGCCGAGGCCCCGGCGGCGCCUUCCCCUCCUCCGUGGGGGAAGCCGGGGGGGCCCGGGCCCCCCACCGCCGCACCUGGCCGGGCAGGGGGUAAAUCGCCUCCAGGCCCCUUCCCCUCCGUCCCGCGCCUCCUCCAGCAAACGCGGGUCGGCAGCGCUCGGCCCUUGUGCCCCCUCCCGAGCCGCGUGCCGGGGGCAGCUCCCUCUCUCCUGCUUUGCUAAGCCAUCGAAUAAAGCUAACGAGCCAGAUGCGGUGGGUGCGUUU
rnacentral:lncRNA from 1 species